rnacentral:rRNA from 1 species
AGUGAACGCUGGCGGUAGGCCUAACACAUGCAAGUCGAACGGCAGCACAGUAAGAGCUUGCUCUUACGGGUGGCGAGUGGCGGACGGGUGAGGAAUACAUCGGAAUCUACUUUUUCGUGGGGGAUAACGCAGGGAAACUUACGCUAAUACCGCAUACGACCUACGGGUGAAAGCAGGGGAUCUUCGGACCUUGCGCGAUUGAAUGAGCCGAUGUCGGAUUAGCUAGUUGGCGGGGUAAAGGCCCACCAAGGCGACGAUCCGUAGCUGGUCUGAGAGGAUGAUCAGCCACACUGGAACUGAGACACGGUCCAGACUCCUACGGGAGGCAGCAGUGGGGAAUAUUGGACAAUGGGCGCAAGCCUGAUCCAGCCAUGCCGCGUGUGUGAAGAAGGCCUUCGGAUUGUAAAGCCCUUUUGUUGGGAAAGAAAAGCAGCAGGUUAAUACCCCGCUGUUCUGACGGUACCCAAAGAAUAAGCACCGGCUAACUUCGUG